UUCUUUCUUCUUCUCUCCUACCUUGCCCACAAGGUGUGGAUAAGUGUUCUUGAGAGUUGACCCUGCCAACGCACUGUAAGCAAGCUCCAUUACUCCUCAGUUGUGGAUCUUUCUUGAGCGUCUGUUCAAGAUUUCUUCUGGCUCAGGUUUGAUGACUCCUUGACCAUCCACUGGAGGUAGAUGUGUGAUUGGAAGGAUGGAUCUCCCCAAUUUCAGCUUUAAUUGUGAAACAUGAAAUAAUUAAGGGUGGAUGAGAGAACCCGUUGGAAGGGUCAGGUGAUAUGCUACAGUUCCCACCUUUCUUUCCACCUGAAAUGGUCCAUAAAAUCGAGGGGAAAGUUUUAGAUUCCUCCUCCGAGCAACAUAAAGCUGUCUGUAAGGCUGUAGACCAAUUUGAUCCCUUUGCUGGAGUUGUUCCUCAACAGCAGCUAAUCUUUGUUGUCCUUAGUUUACUACCUAAAUGUUAAUGGAUGGCUGGAAAUGUAAUGUAGGGUUGAGAUGGCAUGAGAUUUCUCUUAUUGCAUCAAAUGCUGCAGCCUUACUUCCUGCAUUUAAGGUCCUUCAAAAGAAGGCAUGUGCAGAGUGGGUCAUCUUCAUGUCUAGGGGAAUUUCAAGGCAUAUACAUGCAUAAAUAUAUUUGUGCAUGUGUACACAUAUAGAUAUGUUUGGAGUUUGAUAAGAAUCUUGGGGGAUAUCUAAAAUCUCGCUUAGUGUGAGAUUUCUCAUCAGCUCAAUGAAUGAAGUGAUUAUUUCUUGGGAAGUUCAUCUACAGAAGAUGAAUCCUAUGAAGAAAGUGAAAAUUCAGUGUGUUCAAUCAAAGAGGAUGAACUCGAUGAAGAAAGUGAAAUUUUAGAAUGUUCAAUCGAAGAGGAUGAACUUGAUGAAGAAAGUGAAAAUUCAGAAUGUUUAACCGAAGAGGAUGAAUGCUACAGGAUUGAACGGAUUCAACCAUCUAUGAGCCGUUGUGACGGAGAUGAUGAUGAUGAUCGCAACUUGGGAUCCAGCUAGCUGUGUAUUUACUUAAAUGAAGCUGAAGCUCAUGCUCCUAGUGAAGUGGCAGCCGUGAGGAGUCCUACUGUAGCAGCUGAAGCUCCUCCUGUUAGUUAAGUGGCAGCCGUGAAGAACAAGGCUGCUGCUGCUGCAAUUGAUAAAGAUGUUGUUGUAAUUGAUGAAGAUGAAGCUGAGAAGAAUUCUACUACUACAGAUCGAGACAUGAGGAGAAGCAGUGAAGCUGUAGAACACUUAUCCAAGAUAAAGUGCAAAGAAAGUGAAGUUGGAUUCAAACCAACUUCUCAUUCUAAGAUUGAAGUAGAAAACCUUCAAGUUAUUAAUGUUAGAUAGCAUUCUGUAUUCAAUCUCUAGUUUCCAGCUUGUAAUUAAAGUCAUUGUAAUUACUUAGAACACCUCAUGUACAGUUCAAAUAGGUUUCUUCCUUUGUAAUUGCUUAUGCUUAUAAAUAAAGUUUUCCUUCCAUA